UACAGAGGGUGCGAGCGUUAAUCGGAAUUACUGGGCGUAAAGCGUGCGUAGACGGUUAUUUAAGUCGGGUGUGAAAGCCCCGGGCUCAACCUGGGAAUUGCAUUCGAGACUGAAUAGCUAGGGUACGGUAGAGGGAAGCGGAAUUUCCGGUGUAGCGGUGAAAUGCGUAGAUAUCGGAAGGAACAUCAGUGGCGGAAGCGGACUUCCUGG
rnacentral:rRNA from 1 species